CCUACGGGGGACAGCAGUAGGGAAUCUUCCACAAUGGGCGCAAGCCUGAUGGAGCAACACCGCGUGAGUGAAGAAGGGUUUCGGCUCGUAAAGCUCUGUUGUUGGAGAAGAACGUGCGUGAGAGUAACUGUUCACGCAGUGACGGUAUCCAACCAGAAAGUCACGGCUAACUACGUGCCAGCAGCCGCGGUAAUACGUAGGUGGCAAGCGUUAUCCGGAUUUAUUGGGUUUAAGGGGUGCGCAGGCGGCCGGUUAAGUCAGCGGUAAAAGCCCGGGGCUCAACCCCGGCGAGCCGUUGAAACUGGCGGGCUGGAGUUGGAGAGAAGUACGCGGAAUGCGCGGUGUAGCGGUGAAAUGCUUAGAUAUCGCGCAGAACCCCGAUUGCGAAGGCAGCGUACCGGCUCCACACUGACGCUGAGGCACGAAAGCGUGGGUAUCGAACAGGAUUAGAUACCCGGGUAGUC
rnacentral:rRNA from 1 species